UUUUUGGUUAUUUUUUUUUCAAAUGUGGAAAUGUUUUAAAAAUUGAUAUUUCAGCUUUAGUGAAUUUGAGUGCCAUUAUCAUCAUCAUCAUCAUCAUUAUUAUUAUUAUUAUUAUUAUUAUUAUUAUUAUUAAGGUGGUGAGCUGGCAGAAUUGUUAGCAUGCUGGGUAAAAUGCUUUUAUGUUCUGAGUUCAAAUUCUGCUGAGGUCAACUUCGCCUUUCAUCCUUUCAGGGGUCAAUAAAAUAAGUACCAGUUGUGUACUGGGGUCAAUGUAAUUGACUAGCCCCUUCCCAAAUUUCCAGUCUUGUGCCUAUAGUAGAAACAAUUAUUAUUAUUAAUAAUUAAAGUAGUGAGGCGGUGAACUGGAAAAUCCAUUAGCAAGCUGGUUGACAUGCUUACUGGUAUUUCAUCUGUUUUUUUAUGUUCUGAGUUCAAAUUUCACCAAGGUCAACUUUACCUUUCAUAUUUUCGGGGUCAAUAAAUUAAGUACCAGUGAAAUAUUGGGGUUGAUGUAAUUGAUUAGUCGCCUUCCCCAAAAUUUCAGGCCUUGUGCUUUUAGUAGAAAGGAUUGUUAUUAUCAUCUUCAUUAUAACCUUUUUUUGCUUUUCAUGGUUGAUAAAAUAAAGUAUUAGUCAAGUACCAGGGUUGAUGCAACCAGCUGGUCCCCUCCCUUCAAAUUGUUGGCCCUGUGCUAAAAUUAUUAAAAAAUGGCAAGCUGGCAGAAUUGUUAGCAUGCCAGAUAAAUUGCUUAGCAGCAUUUAUUCUGUGUUCAAACUCUGCUGAGAUCAACCCUGCCUAUCACCCUUUUGGGGUCAAUAAAGCAAGUACCAGUUGAGUACCAGGAUCAAUGUAAUUGACACACACACUCAUAUAUAUAUAUACACACACAAAAUUUCAGGCUUUGUGCCUACAACAGAAAAUACUAUUAUUAUUAUUAUAUGUUUGACUUUUGCUUUAUAUUUGUACAAGUUGGCUCCAAGUCUCACCCAGAGACCUCAAGAGACAACAGGUUGGAAGUUCGUAUUGUUGUUAUGUCUAGUGUGCCAUAUAUUUGGUUUUGUAUUUAGUGUUGUACUAGUGAAUGCCUAAAAAAAAAAAAAAGAAAAUUAAGUUUGUUUUAAAACUUGAGAUUACAUAGAAAGUAUUUGCGUAGGAUAUAAGCAAUUCCCAUGAGCACUAUCUUUUGAAUUUCUGCCAUUUUGAGGUUUCCUGGUAUCUGAGUUAGGUAGUUGUCAGCCCCUUUUGCUAUCAUUCCCAGGGCACCUAUGACAACAGGUAUUGUUUUAGUCUUAUCUUAUUCCCAGAGCACCUAUGACAGCUAACAUUCCCAGGGCACCUAUGACAGCUAUCAUUCCCAGGGCACCUAUUAUUAUUAUUAUUAUUAUUAUUAUUAUUAUUAUUAUUAUUAUUAUUUUAUGUUUGACAUUUGCUUUACAUUUGUACAAUUUGGCUCCAAGUCUCACCCAGAAACCUCAAGAGACAACAAGUUGGAAAUUAUUAUUAUUAUUAUUAUUAUUCCAUACUUUAUGUCUGUCUUUGUAUUGUCCUCCUUCAUCCUUCGCCCUGGUGUUAAAUAAAUGAAAUCAUUAUUAUCAUUAUUAUUAUUAUUAUUAACAUCAUUAUUAUUAUUGUUGUUGUUGUUGUUAACUCAGGUUUUGUUGCCUAUAGUACCAUGCUAUCUGUUCUUUUCGACUAUCAAAUACUUUCCUGGUUAUUCUGGAUGUGCCUAGGAGGCAAACCUUUUGUAAGAGCUCCACUGGGCCCUCUAUAUUCCAAUUUUCUUUAUAUUCCUCUUGAUGCCGUCUGACACAGACCCUGAAGACCAACAAUAAUUGGUAUUAUCUACACCUUCUUCACUUUCUGUAGCCAGAUCAUUUCGUACUUAAGAGGAGUGUAUAUUUUAUUAUCACUACUACUACUACUACUACUACUACUACUACUACUACUACUACUACUACUACUACUACUUUUCUUUUUUUAACCUUUGUAUACUUUGUAUGUUUCCCUUCCUUUCCAUUGUAUACUGUAUAUACUUACUCUUCUGUUUUAGUUUAUUUAUUUUAUCAUUAUAGAGAUGUACUUGCAUAGCAAGUGACCUGAUCUGAGAUCGUGUGCUGGAACGAAAACAAUUGCAGCACUGAAUUUUGUCAGUGAACAGGUUGCAAUCUCAAAGCGACGAAAAUAUUUUGGCAAAUUAAAUUUAAAUGUUGAAGUGAAUCUAACGGUUUUUGUGUGUUUCUUAAAUGGUUUAUAAACACCUUCAGUGCUGCAAUUGUUUUAUCAUUUCCUUAUGUGUAAACAGCCUCACUUUAUGUCAGUUUUGUAUUAUCCACUUCAUCCUUCACCCUGGUGGCAAAUAAAUGAAAUCAUCAUCAUUAUCAUCAUUAUUAUUAUUAUUAUUAUUAUUAUUAUUAUCAUUAUUGUCAUAAGUUAAAGCAACAACAAUAUACAAGCAAAUUAAACAGAGAUGGGAUCAUAGAAAUAUUCUUAUGGAACCCCCUUUAUAGAGUCUGUUGUGUAGAUUUCCAGCAAAGGCACAAGGCCUCAAAAAUUUGGAUGAGGUAUAUAGUGGAUUAAAUCAGUCUCAUAAUUGAUACUUUGUUUUAUUGCUCCCAGAAAGAUGAAAGAAGUUGACUUUUGAACUGAGAAAUUUAAAGGAACAAAAUUAAGUACUAAGUCUUUACCAAUCUUGCUAAUUUACUUUCUAAUAUAAAAUAGUACCCAGCGAUAACUUUGGGAGCUGACAACAACAGCAACAACCACAACAAAGCACACACAGACUUUAUAUAUAGUGACAGGCAAGCAAGGUAGGUAUAGGUGAUGCUCAGAAGCAAGUAUGUCAUGGUAAUUUACUAUGCUCUUGCUAAAGUGCUGGUAUAGUCUUUAGUAAGUGUGUGUAUGCAUUGGUGAUAUUCUCCUGGCCCUUUCAUCCAUGACCCAAUGGAACAACAAAGAUGCACCAGCACUAGGUUGGUACACGUUUUACAGCUGAGUGGACUGGAGAGUACAUUGUAAUGAAAUGCCUUGUUCAAGGACACAAUGAAGUCCAGGAGCCAAAAUUGGAACUAAAUGAUAUAUGAUACUCUACACACAAAGUCACAUGCUUUUGAUUAAGCCAGUGGUUCUCAAAAGGAGUCCAUAUCACCCCUGGGCAUUCAUAUAAGAUUUUCUAGUUAAAAUUUAUCUGCAAUGAAUUGGUUAAAAUUCUACAAUCUACAAAAUAUUUUAUCAAUUUUUAAUACAAUUCCUAAUAAUAUUUUUUUGAGAUUUGGCAGCUAUUUCAGCAAUUUGCCACACUUAAUUUUAUUAAAUUUAUCAAAUAAAUUUACAUUAGUAUAAUACAGUCAAUAACUGUAUGAUGUUAAUUAAAUGUUUGUGCUUAAACUUACAUCAUUUAAAAUAGUGAAAAGGAAUAUAUUUUACAAAAGAAAAGCAAAAAAAGGAGAAAGAAAAAACAUCAAUGUAGCAACAAGUGCCUUAUUGGUCAAACUCCAUAAGGUUCAACGGAAUUUACUGAUGCAAGCCAAUAUGAUCAUGACAUUACUAUGGGCGAUGGCGAGGCUAAGGCAUUGGAAAAAGCAAGCAUCUUGACGGGCAUCAUCUGACAUCUUGGUAAGGCGAGAAAAAUAUAUGAUUUUUUUAAACAGCAUGUAGCUAUGAAGGUCCAUCUGAGUAAAACAGGAAGCAAAGGGGUCCAUAGCUGAAAAAAGGGUUGAGAAACAUUGGACUAAACCAAGCCCUUUCACACAUAACCAUGUAUAUACAAGCACAUAUACAUUUUCAUCCCACAAAUACUACAAUAACAAGUCUUUGUCUCUUUGCUCUAUGUCUCUUCUAUUAAAGCUUCAUGGUUUACACACGUAUUUCCUAGUGAUUCCUUUAUCAUUUGACAACCAACAAACUAUGCAUCCUUACCAGUAAACCAAAGACUCUCAUUCUGUUGUCAAAUGUCUCCCUAUCUCCAACUAUAUAAAAUUCUUCCUUCCCUGGACUGUGACCAUGUAGAAUUAUCUCCCUUAACAUAAGGAACCCUUCAUCUCAGUGCUCCACAACUGGUAUGCUGUGGCACACUGGUGUGCCAUGAGACAAUGCUAGGUGUGCUGCAGUGUAACCUGGAUAUGAUUUUCCUCCUAUACCUUAAGUUAUAUUUCUAGUUCAGGUGUGCCACCGAAUUUUGAAAAGAAUAUAAGUGUACCGCAAGUGAAAAAAGUUUGUGGAGUGCUGUUUUAUCUGCUAAAAAGUAGCAGCCAAAUAUCCCUCAGAUCACAUCCUACUGUUCUAAGAGAAAUGACAUAUUGCAGAAUGUAAUGUUAGUAAGUAGUAGGAACAAUAGUGAUGGCACUUUAUUAAUAAGUCGUAUAAACAAUUUAAAAGUAAAAAAAAAAAAAAAUCGAAGAAGUAAAAACAUAAAUAUUUCUUGUAGGAUUUAUGUAUAUAUAUGCAUUCACGUACACAUAAAUGUACAUACAUACAAGGGGUGUAUGAAACGUUUUGAGCCUUCAAGGCCUUUGAGCCUUGAAGUCUGGUACCUUCACCAGAAGUCUUGUCCCAUGUUUUGUUUUCUUGAGGCUCAAGACUUUUCAUACACCCCUCGUACAUAUUACAUUGAUUGCAGUACUUGAUUGGUACUUAUGAAAAGCAAAGUUGACUUUGGCAGAAUUUGAAUUCAGAAAAUAAGAAUGGAUGAAAUGCUGCUCAGUAUUUUGCCCCUGGCAUGCUAACAAUUCUGCCAGUUUGCUGUCUUUAACAAAAAAAAAAACAAACAAAAAAACAAAAAAAAGA
rnacentral:lncRNA from 1 species